UAUGGCUCAGUGGUAGAGCAUCGGUAUGGCACGCCGAAGGCAAAGGGUUCGAGUCCUCAUA
rnacentral:tRNA from 1 species